rnacentral:rRNA from 1 species
GCAGUCGAGCGGUAGAGAGAGCUUGCUUCUCUUGAGAGCGGCGGACGGGUGAGUAAUGCCUAGGAAUCUGCCUGGUAGUGGGGGAUAACGUUCGGAAACGGACGCUAAUACCGCAUACGUCCUACGGGAGAAAGCAGGGGACCUUCGGGCCUUGCGCUAUCAGAUGAGCCUAGGUCGGAUUAGCUAGUUGGUGGGGUAAUGGCUCACCAAGGCGACGAUCCGUAACUGGUCUGAGAGGAUGAUCAGUCACACUGGAACUGAGACACGGUCCAGACUCCUACGGGAGGCAGCAGUGGGGAAUAUUGGACAAUGGGCGAAAGCCUGAUCCAGCCAUGCCGCGUGUGUGAAGAAGGUCUUCGGAUUGUAAAGCACUUUAAGUUGGGAGGAAGGGCAGUUGCCUAAUACGUAACUGUUUUGACGUUACCGACAGAAUAAGCACCGGCUAACUCUGUGCCAGCAGCCGCGGUAAUACAGAGGGUGCAAGCGUUAAUCGGAAUUACUGGGCGUAAAGCGCGCGUAGGUGGUUUGUUAAGUUGGAUGUGAAAUCCCCGGGCUCAACCUGGGAACUGCAUUCAAAACUGACUGACUAAAGUAUGGUAGAGGGUGGUGGAAUUUCCUGUGUG